GCUGGGCAGGGACCAGUGUGCAUGGCAAGGUUUUAAUGCCAGUAAGUUUUUCAGGGUGAUUUUUUUUCUGUCCCUGAGUCAGUGGAAUAGAAUGGAAAUGCCAUGUCUAGCUACUUUAGGGAGCACAGUGUGAAGAAGACAGCCUCCUCUAAGCUAGCACUGUUUGUGUAAUAUGUGGUCCUUAGACAUUAAAAUGAAGCCCUUUGUCACCAACUGUAGAGCCCCCCAAAACACCCUCAUUUGGUGUUUUUGUUCCAUUUUAAACCAUGAAUGGCAUCCGCUCCCUCCAGUACUGAUGUGAGGUUUUUCUGUGUUGGAUCAAAACCAAAUGCUGUUUUAUGUCAACGUAAGGAAGGAAACUAGCAAAUGCAUGAGGUCAAUCUCCAUGGCACACUUCCACCCCAGGGGCUGUACGAGAGGAAAAAAAUGUGCUUCAUGUCCCAACCAAAAGCAUUCUCUGUCUGAGGACUGUUGCCCAAGUGUGAAGUAGGAGACUCGUGCAAUUCAAAGGCACCUAUGUGAUGCCCAUGUGGAGCCCUUUUCUUAGCCAGGCACGACAGGUAUGGAGCCGGCUCUGGGAAGUGGGAUCUAGAAUGACAACCCUUGGCACAGGGCUAAGGAGCUUUAGGAGUGAUGAAAUCUCAUUGUACCACUGCAAACAGAAGCUGCAUCCCUGCCUGGGAAGGAUUAGGUCGCCUCCUAGGCAGGAGCAAACAUUUGGUGGAAAGGACUAGGAGGUUGGCUGCUUGCUCUUCUCUUUCAGCAGUGACAUCUCCACCCUGCCUGUCCCACCUCUCCAGAAAGGACUCCCAGAGGCCUAUGGACUGGAGCUAUUAACAUCCUGCAGAUGGGAGCCACUCUCUCACUGUGAUCACCAAGGUACCCAGGGCCUCCGGAGGCCACAAAGAAUGGAUAAUUGCAACCCACAGGUCUCCUUCAGAUUUUCCCCAAGCCCUUCUGGUCAGCAAAUGCUCUAUGCCCCCUGGCUGAGAGAAAACCCCGAAGCAGUUAAGAUACCAGGAAAGGAAGACUUGAAAAUUGUGAGUCUUUCUCAGUAGAGGAGGCAGUGUGCUGUUAUAUGCUGAUGCAGCUCCUUGUCUUGGACUCAUAACUGACAGAACAGCAUGUGGACCUCACCGCUCCUUGGACUUCGAGUGGCGCUACUCUAACGCUGAGUCCUGACCUGGAUCCCUGUUUGCUUGCCUAGACCUAAGGCGGUGGUGCAGACCUUCCCCCACCCCACAUACCAUCGCCUUCUGGAAUGUGGCUUUGUGGAACUGAGGCUGAGACAAUCACAGUGCCCCAUUCUUCUGGUCAUGUGACAGGUCUGGACCUGGUCAUGUGGCAAAGUCGAAUCUAAGUCACAUCAAAGCAGGGAGAGUUAAAGCAAAUCUUUUCUCUCUUGUUGUGGAGCUGGAAUAUGAGCCCAGAAGCUUCCAGAACACAUGGUCCUGCCCUCAUAAAGAAGCUCAAGUGAGGGAACAAAAUCGACUUAGGUAGCAGCGAGCAUGGAUGGGGCCUGGCUACAUCAAGUUCUCAGAUCCUGUUGUCCCCACCCACCCCCUGUAACUUGCCAAUUUUAUCCAUCAAGCAUCCUCUCCUCUCUCCCAACUUGUCUGAGUUCUGUUUCUGUCAUUGUCACCAAGAGAGCUUUGAUGAGUAAGAAAUCCCAACAUUCCACGGGAGUCUUGGUGGUUUAAAUUUUUAAGUGAGUCCUCACUUGUUAAAGUCUUAUUCCUGUUAGAGGGCACUUCCAUAGUCCAGAAGGUGGGGAAUUCCUAUAGGUGACCUGUGGUCUCUCUAAGCAAUUUGACCAGGACUAUUUAAUAAAAUAUUUUAAAAAUGGUUCCUUUUAAUUAUUCAUUUUCAAAUGUAUAUUUGUUCUUGGCAAACAAGAGAUGAUUUGCGUUAAUCAGUGAUCUUUAAGCAAAUUCCUUGCAAUACUUUAUCUCCAUAUAAACUCGAAGCUUCUUAAAUGAAAUAGUACCUGUGUAUUUCAUAUGGCUUCCUCUUUUAUAAAUAAAAUGAAUGGACUUGGGACCAAAACAGAAUUUUUUUUUUCGGGAACUAUAGGACUGGAAUCUUUUUAUCCAAGGCAGUUGGAUCCCACAGUACAUUUUCACUGUAACAGACAAUGAGGUUGAGUCAAUAAAUAAAUAAAUAAAGUCACCAACAUGUCCAAAAGCCUCCAUUUAAAACUCAAAGCCAGUGGUUUUGGGUUUCACCUUUUCCUUUAAAAUUAAAUUCCCUGAAACCAUAUUUUAAAAAUGCUAUCUGAAUGGGAACCGCCAAACUGGGAAACUUUAAGUUUAAAAAUAGAACUGCAUCUGAAUUAUCUUAUAGAAAUUUGUCUUCUAACCAGCCAUCAGUAACUGUAAGCAUGCUUCAUAGAUCUACAUAUUUCAGCACUUUUUACAUUCUGAAAGAAUCUUGCUUAGAUACGAAGGUUAACUGGACACCUUUUUCUGCAUUCACCUUUAAUACUGGAUGCCCCCUUUAUCUGCACUCCCAAGCUGGGAAGCCCCAGAGUGGGCUCUUGGCCCCUUGCGGCCAACUGAAGUUCUCCAUCUCUGCAGCCUCCGUGAUCACCUUAAGAAUAGGCUCGCGACCUCCUUUGGGCCACACAGAGUCCUUCUCAGGGCUUGCGCUGGAGCUCUCAGGAGGGAUGCUCGCUUUCUCACUGAUCAGGAACUCUAAGGACCAAAGCCUGGAGUGAGGAUGUGAUCUGCUUGCAAGCGAAGGAGGCAGGAGGCAGCCGGACUCGAGGGCACACAUGACCUGGCAGGGCUGAACCUCAGGCUCCGGUGAGGCUGGCUCCUGACUGCCCCUCUGGACUUUCUCAGUUAUUUCAGGCCAUGGAUUAUCUUUAGUGCUUAAGCUAGUUUGAGUUGUGUUUCUGCCACUCAUAAUUCAGAGAAUCCUGGUGGCUUCAGUGUGAUCAGGAAGACAUUGGGAGCCAUUUUAGUUUUUACUUAACUUUUCCAAACUUGCUAGACAGGCUGAUUAUGGGUCUGUGCUAGUCUGGGAACCUGUGUUUGCUCUCUUAAGCCAUGGGUCUUAGACUCAUUUCCUGUUGCAAACAGGAUGCACUGCACAUUUUUACUGUGUUUUUGCUGCCCAUAAGUGGGAGGCAGAUUCGAAUGAUAGAAUUGGAAAGGUUCCAAAAGCACCAGCCAUGGUAGGGACCCUGAAGAUUGCAAGAUAAACAAAAGCAUUCAGAACUUGUGAUGGGAGUGUGAGAGGAUUGAGCGUUGAAGUCAGCCUAACAGAGGCUGUCGUUUACCCGGUGAAAUCCUCAAGUUACAAACAGCUGCUGUGCAAUUGGAAGUCACAGUCUUCAGUUAGGCUUGAUUUGUCAUUUGGUUUAUAAAUAAGCUUUCAUUUUGUCUUUUUUUUUUUUUUUUUUUGGUCUGGCAAUGUGGUAUCUCUUCCUUGCAGGAUUUGGGAAGCUGGGAAUAUGUGUGACCCACACUACCUGAGGGUGAUAGACUUUGACAGUGUCUCCAGCAUUUUCAUGUUGAAAUCUGCUUUAUCCUAAUUUCCAGUCUUGGUCUUGUCUGUCACAGGCUGGGGAGAAGAGCACCGUCCAGAGAAGGACCCAAUAAGGGACAUUUCCACCUUGCUUAGUGGGUUGAGGGCUGGGCUUUGGGUUUGAGAUGUGAAGAGAAAGAAGCUACGUGGAAGAGAAAGGAUGGAGGUACAAGGACGCCCUCCAGCCGGCUACACUUCUGAAACUAAAACAUACAAAACUCAGUGGCUUUUCCUCAACUCCUAUGAUGGAUGUGCAAGGACGCCCUCCAGCUGGCUGCAUUUCUGAUGCUAAAAAUACAAAACUCAGCAGCUUUGCCCAUACUCCUAUGAUGCCUG
rnacentral:lncRNA from 10 species